rnacentral:lncRNA from 1 species
CGAAGGGCCCUUGGCUCUACCGCAUGCGAGGCUGGUGCAGUGGCCAAAAAGGCGUUCACUUGCACAGCUAUGGGUAGGAGAAUUGCCAGAGUGGCCCACAGUUCCCAACACGCAGAGAAGCUGGGGGCCGGAAUGACCUGCGGAACCCGUGCAGGGAGUCAGGUUGGUGACCGGAAGGCCGUCUGGGGCACCAAAGCUCUGGAAAGAUGGUCACCGAAAGGUAUCUGACUGGCACAGGAGGAUGGAGGCCUGAGGGCAGGAGGUGUUUUAGUUCUCCUGUCUGCCACAAGCUGGGGUCCUGAAGCAUCCACGGAUACGUGGAUUUCAGGCUGGCUGGCGGUCAGAAGAGCCGUGAAUCCGGUUGUCCAGUGAUGAUGAGUGGGUGGCCGGAAGGGAAGUGGAUGCACCAGCAAGCUGGAAGGACGGUGGCCGAGAGGGUUCUAAAUUCCCCAGCACACGGGCAGGUUGUUAGCCGGGAGAGCUCUGGGCUCCCCAACACGCCAGGCCUGUAAGGUGGCCCGAAGGGAUCUCAUAUCCACAGCAUGUGGGCAGGCUGAAGGCCAGUUAGCCCUCGGCUCCCCAACACACGGGCAGGUUGAGGGGCCAAAUGACCGGCGGAACCCUAGCGGGUGGGCAUGUUUGUGACCCGAAGAUCCCCGCACCAAUGCAGGAAAAGGAUGGUGGCCCAAAGGGUUCUCACUUCCACAGUGCGCUGCGGCCUGGGGCUGGAAAUGCCCCGCUCCCCCGCUGUGAGGCCGGAAGGUGCGUUUGCAUCACCCGCAGCCAGGCGGGUGGCUGUGGGUCCUCCGUGGCCCAGCGUCGUGCGGUCAACAGCACGCUGCUGGAUCGCCGCCGCCAGCCUGGGUCGGUGCCUUCAGCUUCGGUCUACCAAACAUAUAUCCGUAUUGCAUCGGGCCAGCUCCUGUCCUGAGAAUCCCUGCUUGAUGAGGCCAUCCAUUAUCCUCUCUUACCGUAUGUUAGCUGCAUCCGUGCCAGGCACUUAUAACUGCCUGGAAUUGCUUUAUCUACCUUCAAGAUAUAUCCAGAAUCCACCCACUUCUGCCUCCUCCAUUCUUACCUCCCUGGUCUGAGCCACCAUCAUCUGUCACUAGGAUGGCUGUGGUAGCCUCUGCGCUGGUCUCCUUCCUCCACUCUUGCUCUGCCCUCACCAGCCUUUUCUCAACACAUCAGCCAGAGGAAUCCCUUUAAAACAGAAGUCAGACCGUGUGAGUCUCCAUUACUCUCAUAGUGAAAGCAAGAGUAUUUGCCAGUGGCCUACAAGGCCCUCAUGAUCUGGCUCACUAUGACUUUUCUUUUCUUUUGAGGAAGAUUAGCCCUGAGCUAACAUCUGCCGCCAAUCCUCCUCUUUUUGCUGAGGAAGACUGGCCCUGAGCUAACAUCUGUGUCCAUCUUCCUCCACUUUAUAUGUGGGACGCCUGCCACAGCAUGGCUUGCCAAGCGGUGCCAUGUCCACACCCGGGAUCCGAACUGGCAAAUCCCAGGCCACCGAAGUGGAACGUGUGUACUUAACCACUGUGCCACCGGGCCGGCCCCACUGUGACUUUUCUGACUGUAUUGCCCGCUGUUCUCCUUUUCACUUAUUUUGCCCCUACAACACUGGUCUCCUUGCUGUUCCUUGAUCAAACCAGACAUGCUCUUGCCACAGCCAGUGGCUUUGCACCGGCCGAUUCCUUUUUAACAUUCUAUAGUGUUUAUUUAUCUAUCAUAUUUAUUGCUUCUUGCCUAUUUCCAGAAUAUAUGGUCCACAAAGCAGGGAUUUUUUUUCUACUUUACUCACUGUAGUAUCCACAAUGCCUAGAAUAGUGCCUAGCACAUAGUAGAUACUUGUUACGGGUUGAAUUGUGUCCCUCAAAAAGAUAUGUUGAAGUCCUAACCCUCAGUAGCUGUGAAUGUGACCUUAUUCAGAAAUAAAGUCUUUGUAGAUGUAAUCA